rnacentral:antisense_RNA from 1 species
AGAUGUAAAAUCUGAGCUGCAACACUGAACAAAAGCUGUACUUGCCAGCCAGCAAAGAUGCUACCACUCUGCACAACAGAUAAAACCCAUACAUAUAGGGAAGUCAAAAGAGUCUUUAAGCUACAGUGUUUGAGAGGCUGUUUGUCUCUGAUGGAAAAUUAAGAAAAUGAGUCCAUUUCUAAGAAGAUGUGGUUCGAACAUACAGAGCUACAUAAUAUGAGUAAAAUAGGACCUAACAGUAGUGUUCUCCAGCAUUGCUCUGCCUUUCCUUUUCUGGAUGUAACAACAUUACUAAGAAAGGAAGAAAAAGCAAAAAUCUGCUCUCGGGGAGAUUCCAGCAUGUUGGAAAGCCCCAAAUGGAAGUCUCUGCUUUGGUUACAGGACAUAAGGUUUAAUAAAUAAAAAGAUGCUCAUCUGGGAUGCUGCACCAAUUAUCAUGUACUAAAUAAGGUUACCUAAUUCACUCUCCAGGUAGAAAUGUCUAUCAUAAGCAUGUGCCACAGAAGGUCUCACAAGUAUCAUUAUUGGCUGUGUUGAAUUUUGUUUUUAGUUCUCUUUUAUAAGGUCUGUAGUCUUACUUUCAGUGAGGAAGUGUUUUCUCAGGUUCUCAAGAAAGUAACAAAAUGCCAGCAUUGUCAAGGUCACCAUUGCCACUGAAUUAUCUUACUGUCUGAUUAUUCCAUCUUCCUCUGCAUCAUAUUAGCCUGAUGACUACAUUCUAAUUAUUUAAAGCGUUAUGUAAAUCAAAGCAGUAAAUGUAAUUUCUAGUCUUACUAGAUAUCAUGUACAUUAGGUCGAAUAACUCUAGAAAUGUCGUCAUA